rnacentral:rRNA from 1 species
GACGAACGCUGGCGGCGUGCUUAACACAUGCAAGUCGAGCGGUAAGGCCUCUUCGGGGGUACACGAGCGGCGAACGGGUGAGUAACACGUGGGUGACCUGCCCUCAGCUCUGGGAUAAGCCUGGGAAACUGGGUCUAAUACCGGAUAUGACCUUGCCUCGCAUGGGGUGGGGUGGAAAGUCCUGGGCUUGAUUGUCUGGGCUCGGCUGGGGAUGGGCCCGCGGCCUAUCAGCUGUUGGUGGGGUGAUGGCCUACCAAGGCGACGACGGGUAGCCGGCCUGAGAGGGCGACCGGCCACACUGGGACUGAGACACGGCCCAGACUCCUACGGGAGGCAGCAGUGGGGAAUAUUGCGCAAUGGGCGGAAGCCUGACGCAGCGACGCCGCGUGGGGGAUGACGGCCUCGGUU